GGCCGGAUAAGGCGUUUACGCCGCAUCCGGCAGUCGGUGCACAAUGCCUGAGGCGACACUGACACGUCUUAUCAGGCC
rnacentral:ncRNA from 1 species